rnacentral:siRNA from 1 species
UGUACUUAGGGCCUUGUCUU